UUGGGCGUGGACCGGUGUUCGUUCCCAUCCAGUGACAGUGUAGCACUGCUGCCUGCCACCGGCUCUGGGUUCGUUCUGAGAUUAUACGGUUAAACUUGAUCUGGAUAAUACCAGCGAAAGGAUCAUGCCUUCCCUCGUA
rnacentral:ncRNA from 2 species